CUCCUACGGAGGCAGCAGUGGGAAUUUUGGACAAUGGGCGCAAGCCUGAUCCAGCCAUGCCGCGUGCGGGAAGAAGGCCUUCGGGUUGUAAACCGCUUUUGUCUAGGGAAGAAAAGCUACCGGGCUAAUACCUCGGAGUUAUGACGGUACCUGAAGAAUAAGCACCGGCUAACUACGUGCCAGCCGCCGCGGUAAUAC
rnacentral:rRNA from 1 species